UGGGGAAUAUUGGACAAUGGGCGCAAGCCUGAUCCAGCCAUGCCGCGUGAGUGAUGAAGGCCCUAGGGUUGUAAAGCUCUUUCACCGGUGAAGAUAAUGACGGUAACCGGAGAAGAAGCCCCGGCUAACUUCGUGCCAGCAGCCGCGGUAAUACGAAGGGGGCUAGCGUUGUUCGGAUUUACUGGGCGUAAAGCGCACGUAGGCGGACUAUUAAGUCAGGGGUGAAAUCCCGGGGCUCAACCCCGGAACUGCCUUUGAUACUGGUAGUCUUGAGUUCGAGAGAGGUGGGUGGAAUUCCGAGUGUAGAGGUGAAAUUCGUAGAUAUUCGGAGGAACACCAGUGGCGAAGGCGGCUCACUGGCUCGAUACUGACGCUGGGGUGCGAAAGCGUGGGGAGAAAACAGG
rnacentral:rRNA from 1 species